GUACUCACCUGGCAGGGGAGAAACCAAGAUCAUGAGGACGGUUUUACCAGGGCGGGGCUCAUCCAGCGCACCCCGGAUAUGCUGACCUCUGCAAUUUCUCCAAAUACAGGAAACUCAACUACAUAAUCUGUGGUGGGGGGGACUGCACUUGUGCUGCCCUCCG
ensembl:snRNA U1 U1 spliceosomal RNA